CUGGAACUGCUUUCCGCUGACGACCGGCGACGGGUGCGUAACACGUAUGCAACCUACCCUUCACAGGAGGACAGCCCCGAGAAAUCGGGAUUAAUACUCCAUAACAUCACGGAUUCGCAUGUUUCUGUGAUCAAAGUUCCGGCGGUGAAGGAUGGGCAUGCGGCCUAUUAGUUUGUUGGUGAGGUAACGGCUCACCAAGACUACGAUAGGUAGGGGGUCUGAGAGGAUGAUCCCCCACACUGGUACUGAGACACGGACCAGACUCCUACGGGAGGCAGCAGUGAGGAAUAUUGGUCAAUGGACGAAAGUCUGAACCAGCCAUGCCGCGUGCAGGAAGACUGCCCUACGGGUUGUAAACUGCUUUUAUGUGGGAAUAAACCCCUGAAUUCUUUCGGGGCUGAAGGUACCACACGAAUAAGGAUCGGCUAACUCCGUGCCAGCAGCCGCGGUAAUACGGAGGAUCCAAGCGUUAUCCGGAUUUAUUGGGUUUAAAGGGUCCGUAUGCGGGACAUUAAAUCAGUGGUGAAAUCCCUCAGCUUAACUGGAGAAUUGCCAUUGAUACUGAUGUUCUUGAGUACACCUGAAGUGGGCGGAAUGUGUCAUGUAGCGGUGAAAUGCAUAGAUAUGACACGGAACACCGAUUGCGAAAGCAGCUCACUAAAAUGUAACUGACGCUGAGGGACGAAAGCGUGGGGAGCGAACAGGAUUAGAUACCCUGGUAGUCCACGCCGUAAACGAUGAUCACUCGAUAUUGGCUUCCGUCAGUGUCCAAGCGAAAGUGAUAAGUGAUCCACCUGGGGAGUACGCCUGCAACUGUGAAACUCAAACGAAUUGACGGGGGCCCGCACAAGCGGUGGGAGCAUGUGGUUUAUUUCUAUGAUACGCGAGGAACCUUACCUGGCUUAAUGCAGAACGACCUGCUGGAAACAUGCCUUUCUUU
rnacentral:rRNA from 1 species